CUAGUACGGCGAGUGAAGCGGGAAGAGCUCAAAUUUGAAAUCUGGUAGCCUUCGGUUGCCCGAGUUGUAAUCUAGAGAAGUGUUUUCCGCGUUGGCCCAUGUACAAGUCCCUUGGAACAGGGCGUCAUAGAGGGUGAGAAUCCCGUCCUUGACAUGGACCCCCAAUGCUUUGUGAUACACUUUCAACGAGUCGAGUUGUUUGGGAAUGCAGCUCAAAAUGGGUGGUGAAUUCCAUCUAAAGCUAAAUAUUGGCGAGAGACCGAUAGCGAACAAGUACCGUGAGGGAAAGAUGAAAAGCACUUUGGAAAGAGAGUUAAACAGUACGUGAAAUUGUUGAAAGGGAAACGAUUGAAGUCAGUCAUGCUCUUUGGAUUAAGCCGUUCUGCGGUGUAUUUCAUUGAGCGGGGUCAACAUCAGUUUUGAUCGCUGGAAAAGGGCAGGAGGAAGGUAGCACUCUCGGGUGAACUUAUAGCCUCUUGUCGUAUACAGUGAUUGGGACUGAGGAACGCAGCAUGCCUUUUGGCCGGGAUUCGUCCACGUACAUGCUUAGGAUGUUGACAUAAUGGCUUUAAACGAUCCGUCUUGAAACACGGACCA
rnacentral:rRNA from 1 species